UCAAUGCCUUCCUCUUGCAGGAACUCCUGACACACUCCAGCCACAUGAGGUCUAGCAUUGUCUUGCAUUAGGAGGAACCCAGGGCCAACCGCAUGAGCAUAUGGUCUCACAAGGCGUCUGAGGAUCUCAUCUCGGUACCUAAUGGCAGUCAGGCUACCUCUGGCGAGCACAUGGCCACCCCACACCAUGACUGACCCACCGCCAAACCGGUCAUGCUGGAGGAUGUUGCAGGCAGCAGAACGUUCUCCACGGGGUCUCCAGACUCUGUCACGUCUGUCACAUGUGCUCAGUGUGAACCUGCUUUCAUCUGUGAAGAGCACAGGGCGCCAGUGGCGAAUUUGCCAAUCUUGGUGUUCUCUGGCAAACGUCCUGCACGGUGUUGAGCUGUACGCACAACCCCCACCUGUGGACGUCGGGCCCUCAUACCACCCUCAUGGAGUCUGUUUCUGACCGUUUGAGCAGACACAUGCACAUUUGUGGCCUGCUGGAGGUAAUUUUGCAGGGCUCUGGCAGUGCUCCUCCUGCUCCUCCUUGCACAAAGGCGGAGGUAGCGGUCCUGCUGCUGGGUUGUUGCCCUCCUACGGCCUCCUCCAAGUCUCCUGAUGUACUGGCCUGUCUCCUGUUAGCGCAUCCAUGCUCUGAACACUACGCUGACAGACACAGCAAACCUUCUUGCCACAGCUUGCAUUGAUGUGCCAUCCUGGAUGAGCUGCACUACUUGAGCCACUUGUGUGGGUUGUAGACUCCGUCUCAUGCUACCACUAGAGUGAAAGCACCGCCAGCAUUCAAAAGUGACCAAAACAUCAGCCAGGAAGCAUAGGAACUGAGAAGUGGUCUGUAGUCACCACCUGCAGAACCACUCCUUUAUUGGGGGUGUCUUGCUAAUUGCCUAUAAUUUCCACCUGUUGUCUAUUCCAUUUGCACAACAGCAUGUGGAAUUUAUUGUCAAUCAGUGUUGCUUCCCAAGUGGACAGUUUGAUUUCAAAGAAGUGUGAUUGACUUGGAGUUACAUUAUGUUGUUUAAGUGUUCCCUUUAUUUUUUUGAGCAGUGUAUAAGGACCUUCUCAGAGAAGGUAUUUUACAAAUGUUCUCUGUUUCUGUUCUGGAGGUGUUUCCCUGGUACAAUUUGUAAUAAAUCGGAUAGAUUUUUUAUUGGUAUUA